UACGGGGGGGGCUAGCGUUGUUCGGAAUUACUGGGCGUAAAGGGCGCGUAGGCGGCCUACUAAGUCGGACGUGAAAUCCCUCGGCUCAACCGGGGAACUGCGUCUGAUACUGGAUGGCUUGAGUUCGGGAGAGGGAUGCGGAAUUCCAGGUGUAGCGGUGAAAUGCGUAGAUAUCUGGAGGAACACCGGUGGCGAAGGCGGCAUCCUGGACCGAUACUGACGCUGAGGAGCGAAAGCCAGGGAGCAAACGGG
rnacentral:rRNA from 1 species